rnacentral:rRNA from 1 species
GACGAACCGAGCGAACGUUAUUCGGAAUCACUGGGCUUAAAGGGUGCGUAGGCGGGCCCGUCAGUCAGGGGUGAAAUCCCACGGCCCAACCGUGGAAGUGCCUCUGAUACUGCGGGCCUGGAGGGGGAUAGGGGCGUGCGGAACUUCCGGUGGAGCGGUGAAAUGCGUAGAGAUCGGGAAGAACAUCGGUGGCGAAAGCGCUCUACUGGACGGUGACUGACACUCAGGGACGAAAGCUAGGGGAGCGAAUGGG